rnacentral:misc_RNA from 1 species
GAACUACGCAGCCGUUCUCCCGUUUCGCGUGCCCGCGCACUCCGCCCUUAAAUCAGAGGCCUCAGCACUGCGCAAAGUUUGUUCGAGGCAGGCAAAGCUGGCCCCCGAACCAUCCGGAGAAAGGAAACUCCCGUUAAAGUUGAACAGCACCGACCUCGCCGUUGACAGCCCGGGUAUUCGGCACGUGUCGUAGCCUUCGUUGAGAGAAAGUGUGGCACGGACGUAUCCGGGUGCCACUAAAUCAGACCAUGUCGAAGAAGAAAGUGUGCAUUGUGGGCGCCGGGUCAAGCGGACUGACGUGCGCGCGCCAGAUGCUCGACUACGGCUUCGACGUGGUGCUGUACGAGCGGUCCGCGGACAUCGGAGGCCUCUGGGCGUACCACGACGAUGACGUCGAGGGACGGGCGUCCGUCAUGCGCACUACCAUAAUAAACACCAGCAAAGAGAUGAGCGCCUUCAGUGACUUUCCACCGCCCAAGGACCUCCCAAACUACAUGCACAACACCAAGAUGCUGGGCUACUUCCGGAGCUACGCCGACCACUUCGGCGUCACCAAGUACGUGAAGACGAGGCACGACGUGGUGCAGGUGACGGCCGCCGCCGACUACGAGAAGACGGGCCGCUGGGACGUGCUCGUUAGGGACCUGGAAGCGAACACCGACCGAAGGGAGACGUACGACGCCGUGGCCGUGUGCGUGGGACACCACGUGUACCCUAACGUGCCACACUUCAAAGGGCAGGAGAAGUUCCGCGGCCGCAUUGUGCACACGCACAGCAUGAAGAACGCCGACACGUUCCGGGACCACCGGGUGGCCGUGGUUGGCAUCGGCAACUCGGCGGUCGACGCCGUCGUCGACGUCAGUUACGUUGCCCUCGAGACGUACCUGUCCACGAGAAGGGGCGCCUGGGUGGCCAAGCGCGUCGGCCCCAACGGCAUGCCCAUCGACAUCUUCCUAGCCACGCGGCUCAAGAACUACAUCAUGCGCGUCCUGCCCUCAUCGGUGUCCAAUGACUAUGUGGAGAACAUCUUGAACGGGUUCUUCAACCACGAGGCUUACGGACUCAAGCCCAAGCAUCGCUACAACGCGCAACACCCGACCGUCAACGACGCGCUGCCCAACCUCAUCCUCAGUGGCAAGGUUUGCGUGAAGAAGGACAUCGUCGAGUUCACCGAAGACGGCGUACUCUUUGAAGGUGACGACAAAGUGACCCUGCUGGACGACGUCAUCCUGGCCACAGGAUACCAGAUCAAGUUUCCUUUCUUACCGAAGGACGUGGUGUCCGUAGUGGACAACCAAGUGCAGCUGUACAAGUACGUCUUCCCACCCCAGUUGAAACAUCCGAGUCUGGCUAUCAUUGGGCUCAUCCAGCCGGUCGGCGCCAUAUUUCCCAUUUCCGAGAUGCAGAGCCGCUGGAUGGCCGAGCUGCUGUCUGAGAAACGGUCGCUACCCUCGGAGGAGGCCAUGUUCGAGAACAUCCGCAAGAAGCGAGAAUACAUGCGGCGCCGCUACGUUUCGUCCCCGCGUCACACCAUCCAAGUGGACUGGAUCAACUACAUGGACGAGCUGGCCAGCCAGAUCGACGCCCGACCCAACGUCCUCAAGUACCUCUUCACGGACAACGAGCUCUUCCGCGCGCUGCUCGGGCCCUGCGUGCCGUACCAGUUCCGGCUCGAAGGUCCGCACCCGUGGUCCGGCGCGCGGCAGGCGAUCCUCGACUCGCGCUACAGGGUGAUGUACCCGCUCAACGACCAAUGCACCUCCUUCAGGCGCAAGAAAAAGGGCCCAUCGGCAUUCCUCUACAUGUUCCUUUUCUUCUUCGUGCUGGCCGUUGCAUACGCACUUUCCGGAAUACGGCAACAUUCCUAAUAACUUCACCCGUCCUUGUUGAUCUCCUCCCUCAGGACUCAAAACGCAAAGGUUUAUUCGCUAAGCCCAUUGACGUGCGUGUCCUAGAAACGGGUGCCAGAAGCAGAUGAUAACCUCUGUUCCGUGUUGAUGUGCUCCAACGGACGAACAAGGCGCGCCUUGCACCAUAAACUCAGCAUACGGUUUAGCCAUGCAUACAAUGCAGUUGCGCUUAUUGCUUGUCGUGAGAUUUACGUAAUUCCAUAUAUUACACAUAGUUUUGUUGAAAAUAAAGUGAUUACAGUUUCCCGGUAA